UGGAAAUGAAGGACCCGGUGCCGGGAUUGAAUCCAACAUCCGGGCUCUCGGCUGCGGGCUCUGAGGAGGGGGAGCGGGGGAACGCGGGCGACAUUUCCCGGGGGCGCGGGUGCGCAGCUGGGCGUCGGGAGCUCGGGCUGGACUGGGCUCCCGCGGCGGGUGUCCGCGCUGGCAGCCGGGGGAGGGGGCUUGUCCGUGAGAAACAGCCCCAGGAAAUUCCCAGGGCAAGGUCGUUUUCGGGGAACAAAGUCCUCCCGCCCCCUCCCCACGCCUGGAGCCGGACCAAAAGUCUUGGAGCGGUGAGAGGUGCCGCACUCCGGGAGCUGGAGAGAGGAGUUUGAGAUGGAGAAACUUUAAGAAGUAAAUGCCCAAACCAGCUCCUUGAACGUCCCACAAAAGAAUGAGAAAACCCAGAGGGAGGUGAACCACUAAAAUUGCUUUGCAAGCAAUGUCCGGCACCAUCAGCAACUCCUACUGGACUCCCAGGAGUUUGCAAUCGUUCUUAACCCCUUUGGAAGCUCCCUCCAGAUGCAAGUCCAACAGAUGAUGCUCUUGCUAUAGGGGAAAGACACAACUUAGUUUCGCGAGUUUUACUCAGAAACCGUUUCCCCAGCUUCUCGAGCUCUUUGUACCGGGAAGAGCUAAACAACUUCACCUGCUGAAGACUGACUAGUGAUGGAGAACGGUCCUCCUGCUUCCCGCUUUUGUUUCCACUUCCCCUAUUAAUGUCGAGUGCACUCCGUUCAGAAACAGCAAACCAGAGAAACUGCCUCGCUAGCAAAUUAAUGGGCUCAAAAAGUAAACGUCAAGAAGGCGUAGAUUAAAAUACCUUUUCCUGAUAAAAGACUAAGUCCGCGGUCUCAUCGUCCUGUCAAACUGUCUCAAACGCUUGGAAAGGGAACCCACAAGGCAGAUAACCUUUUGUUCAUUAAUAUAACUGGGAAACAAGAUAGGAGGCCUCAAGAAAGGGGUGGAACUCAGAAAGGAGUGAAAGCAGCAAAAUUUAGUCAGAUGCCAAAGGCUUGGCAGAAAAAAAAAAAAUUGGGAAAACCACUACAAUGUUUUUAACUAGUCAUCAUGGAGAAAUUGAUGCCUUGAGUCUCGUCUCUCUACUCUCCAAUUAUUUUUACUCACGGAUGUUCCAGAUAGUUCACUUGAAAGCAAUAUGAAUGUCCGGAGAGGAGGGAGUUUAUGUAAUAUGGUGUUGAAAAUAUAUAGGAAAAUGUUUUUAAUAAAAUAAGGAAUUGCUUGUUAGGGCACAAAACUGCGGAACUAGAUCUGCAGCUGUAAAAUUACGAGCUU